rnacentral:rRNA from 1 species
CAUCCUACGGGGGGCAGCAGUAGGGAAUAUUGCUCAAUGGGGGAAACCCUGAAGCAGCAACGCCGCGUGGAGGCUGCCGGUUUUCGGCUUGUCCCCUCCUUUUGUUCGCGCCGCUAAUGCCGGUAUCUAACGAAUAAGCACCGGCUAACUCCGUGCCAGCAGCCGCGGUAAUACGGAGGGUGCAAGCGUUACUCGGAAUCACUGGGCGUAAAGAGCGCGUAGGCGGGAUAGCAAGUACGAUGUGAAAUCCUAUGGCUUAAACA